ACGAGUGCCUCAAGCGUUAUCCGGAAUCAUUGGGCGUAAAGGUUGUGUAGGUGGUUGUAUUAGUCUUCUGUUAAAUUCUUCGGCUUAACCGGGGGCAUGCAGAGGAAACGGUACAACUAGAGGAUGCGAGGGGUCUGCGGAACUCAUAGUGUAGCGGUAAAAUGCGUUGAUAUUAUGGGGAACACCAAAAGCGAAGGCAGCAGACUGGAGUAUUCCUGACACUGAAACAAGAAAGCGUGGGUCGCGAAUGGGA
rnacentral:rRNA from 1 species